rnacentral:rRNA from 1 species
GAUGAACGCUGACAGAAUGCUUAACACAUGCAAGUCUUUGGCGAAUCUGUGCUUGCACAGGCUAGCCAAGGCGGACGGGUGAGUAACGCGUAAAGAACUUGCCCUGCAGACAGGGAUAACAGACGGAAACGACUGAUAACACCUGAUACAGUUGCCGGCACGCAUGUGCCUGGCAAUGAAAAGAGAUGCUGCAGGAGAGCUUUGCGUCCUAUUAGCUUGUUGGUGAGGUGACGGCUCACCAAGGCGAUGAUAGGUAGCCGGCCUGAGAGGGUGAACGGCCACAAGGGGACUGAGAUACGGCCCUUACUCCUACGGGAGGCAGCAGUGGGGAAUAUUGGACAAUGGGGGCAACCCUGAUCCAGCAAUUCUGUGUGCACGAAGAAGGUUUUCGGAUUGUAAAGUGCUUUCAGCAGGGAAGAAGAAAGUGACGGUACCUGCAGAAGAAGCGACGGCGAAAUACGU